AGAAGGGAGAGCAGCGGGUUGGGAGUUCCUGGGACAGAUUGAAAAAUUAGCAGAGGGAAAAGCAAUCUUCUCCAAGGGGCCUCUUAGGACAGCUAAAGGGAGAGACUCCACAUUUGAUGGCAGCGUGCAGGCGGGCAGGGCAGAGCAGUUCCGGUCCACGUCGUGUUGUCGGGUGUACCGUGUUACCUACUGUGUCUUUGGGGUCCCUUUUGCCUUUUCCCCUCGAGGCCCUCACCACAAGCAUAAUGUGUCGUGUUUAACGUCCCCCCGUUGGUCACGUUCUGUGUCACGGGUGUCUGCACAUGUUUGUGCCGGAGCUGCUCUGCCCUGCCGCAGAGGCUGCUGCAACAGGACAAGGCUCAGGGACACGCAGUUUGUGGGGUGUGGCCGGACUCUAGAUGAUAUUCCUAGAUAGACAGAAGAUGUUUGGAGCUGUGAAGAUAUCCUGCAGCCCUUUGACGUUUGUCCUCGCUUUCUUUCAGAUGCAGAAGGAUAAAAUCCAGGGCAAAAUCCAUCCACCCAUCCCGAGUGAGGAGGUUCCCCCGAGCAGGAAGUAAAGCUGGACAUCAGCAGUCAAGGUGUCACCAGGGCAGCCUUCAGCAAUGGCCGAGGAGUUGCGCCCAGGCGUGCCCCACGACGAUGGCGUCAGCCUCCGAGUGCGGCUGAAGCGUGCGGCCCCAGGAGCCGGGCAUUCUUGGGAAGAGAACGAAGAAACAACAGGAAGUUGUUGAACAACAGUGCCAGCAGGACCUUCCCAGCUGUCGAGGCAGCCUUCCCUUGCACCUGACACAGACCGGCAUCCCCAGAUGUCUGAGAGAUAAGUAGAGGGCCACGACCCACAGAGGGGAUGAAACCAGGGCGCAGGGCAGGGACCCA